rnacentral:miRNA from 1 species
GGUGCAGUUACUGUGGCUGUGG